UAGCGAUGUACACGGUGGCAGUGUGGUUAGCUGGUUGUGUUUUUUUGAUCACGACCACUAUCCAUACUCCCUCCAUGAAUAUCGUUAA
rnacentral:pre_miRNA from 15 species